rnacentral:rRNA from 1 species
UACGGAGGGGGCAAGCGUUGUUCGGAAUUACUGGGCGUAAAGGGCGCGUAGGCGGCCUGUUAAGUCGAACGUGAAAUCCCCGGGCUCAACCCGGGAACUGCGUCCGAUACUGGCAGGCUUGAAUCCGGGAGAGGGAUGCGGAAUUCCAGGUGUAGCGGUGAAAUGCGUAGAUAUCUGGAGGAACACCGGUGGCGAAGGCGGCAUCCUGGACCGGCAUUGACGCUGAGGCGCGAAAGCGUGGGGAGCGAACAGG